rnacentral:misc_RNA from 1 species
GAUGAAGAACGUAGCGAAACGCGAUAAGUAAUGUGAAUUGCAGAAUCCAGUGAAUCAUCGAAUCUUUGAACGCACAUUGCGCCCGCCAGUAUUCUGGCGGGCAUGCCUGUUCGAGCGUCAUUACAACCCUCAGGCCCCCGGGCCUGGCGUUGGGGAUCGGCGGAGCCCCCCGUGGGCACACGCCGUCCCCCAAAUACAGUGGCGGUCCCGCCGCAGCUUCCAUCGCGUAGUAGCUAACACCUCGCGACUGGAGAGCGGCGCGGCCACGCCGUAAAACACCCAACUCUUCUGAAGUUGACCUCGAAUCAGGUAGGAAUACCCGCUGAACUUAAGCAUAUCAAUAAGCGGAGGA